AAGCUUCAUACUCUCUAACACUCAUAGCUCAGCUACUUCACUAAAGUUCCACCAUAAACACUUUCAUCCCAAACCCCUUGCUUUAUAUCCAAGCUCAACACCAUUUCAACCUACCCGUUUUCAACAUUUUUUAGGUAAUGAUUUUAGCUUAAACUUUGUUAACUUUUUGGUUCUGUUUUUGUGAUGAAAAUUGUUGUUUGUUCUUGGUUGAUCUUUUGAGAGGGUUUUGACUCAAGCUUGUAAAAAAUGAUUAACUUUGGUUUACACUUUUUUC
rnacentral:lncRNA from 1 species